UCCGUAGGGUGCGAGCGUUGUCCGGAAUUAUUGGGCGUAAAGAGCUUGUAGGCGGUUUGUCGCGUCUGCUGUGAAAUUUCGGGGCUCAACCCCGAACUUGCAGUGGGUACGGGCAGACUAGAGUGUGGUAGGGGAGACUGGAAUUCCUGGUGUAGCGGUGAAAUGCGCAGAUAUCAGGAGGAACACCGAUGGCGAAGGCAGGUCUCUGGGCCACUACUGACGCUGAGAAGCGAAAGCAUGGGGAGCGAACAGG
rnacentral:rRNA from 1 species